rnacentral:rRNA from 1 species
UACGUAGGGUGCAAGCGUUGUCCGGAAUUAUUGGGCGUAAAGAGCUUGUAGGCGGUUUGUCGCGUCUGCUGUGAAAUUUCGGGGCUCAACCCCGAACUUGCAGUGGGUACGGGCAGACUAGAGUGUGGUAGGGGAGACUGGAAUUCCUGGUGUAGCGGUGAAAUGCGCAGAUAUCAGGAGGAACACCGAUGGCGAAGGCAGGUCUCUGGGCCAUAACUGACACUGAGGAGCGAAAGCGUGGGGAGCAAACAGG